UAGUCAUACGCUUGUUUCAAAGAUUAAGCCAUGCAUGUUUAAGUAUAAAUACUUUACUUUGAAACUGCGAACGGCUCAUUAUAUCAGUUAUAGUUUAUUUGAUAGUUCCUUACUACUUGGAUAACCGUAGUAAUUUUAGAGCUAAUACAUGCAUCAAUACCCAACUGUUUGCGGACGGGUAGUAUUUAUUAGAUAGAAACCAACCCUUUUUGGAGGCGCUCAGGUGAUUCAUGAUAACUUUGCGAAUUGCAUGGCCCUGUGCCGGCGAUAGAUCAUUCAAGUUUUUGCCCUAUCAGCUUUGGAUGGUAGGGUAUUGGCCUUCCAUGGCUUUAACGGGUAACGGAUAAUUAGGGUUAGAUUCCGGAGAGGGGGCCUGAGAGAUGGCCCCCACAUCCAAGGAAGGCAGCAGGCGCGUAAAUUACCCAAUCCUGACACAGGGAGGUAGUGACAAUAAAUAACAACGCCGGGCCUUUUUAGGUUUGGCAAUUGGAAAGAGGACAAUUUAAAUCCCUUAUCGAGGAUCAAUU
rnacentral:rRNA from 1 species